UAUAGGGCCAAAUUGCCGUUCAUAUUGUAUAGAUCUGGUAGAUUUGUUGUAAUCUCAUAUCAUUUUUGCAUAUUACCUUCCUUUCAAUUCCCAUAAACAGAUUUCAACUGGGGCUCCCUUUUAUGCAUAACUGGCGGAUUCGCUCGCUGGGGAUGCUACAGGAGUAGCUUUUGAUCUUUUAAUGAAAGAUGUAUUAGACGUAGCCAUGAGAGCAGCCAGUUUCAGGUCCGUACUCGACCACUUGAUGACGACUCUGAUUUCAAUCAAGUCAGUUGUCGAGGACAUAGAGAAGCUGAACGGAGUGUUAAAUUACCAACAAGAAGGAGCAGAGACGCUUUAAAAAUGCAUACGAAACGC
rnacentral:lncRNA from 1 species